GGCCGGAUGGCGGAAUGGCAGACGCAAAGGACUUAAAAUCCUUUGUCCCGUUAGGGACGUGUGGGUUCGAAUCCCACUCCGGCUA
rnacentral:tRNA from 1 species